UACGUAGGGACCAAGCGUUGUCCGGAAUCAUUGGGCGUAAAGAGCGUGUAGGCGGCUUGUUAAGUCUUGCGUGAAAUCUCGGGGCUCAACCCCGAGCGGUCGUGAGAAACUGGCAGGCUAGAGUGCGGGAGAGGAGGGUGGAAUACCCAGUGUAGAGGUGAAAUUCGUAGAUAUUGGGUGGAACACCGGUGGCGAAAGCGGCUCUCUGGCCCGGAACUGACGCUGAGGCGCGAAAGCGUGGGGAGCAAACAGG
rnacentral:rRNA from 1 species